ACCUAACUCCUCGUUUACAACUUCCUCCUCCUAGGUCCCAGUGGAUCUCCUGAGCUAAUAAGGAAGAUGCUCAGCUCUGUUGAAAACCAUUGCCUCUUCAAGCAAAGAUGGUUUCUUAAUCCAUUUUCUGCUUCUAUAACUGAAUACAACAGACUGGGCUGGGAAGAGCAUGGUACCAGCACCGCUCAGCCUAUGUCAAGAACCCAGGCUCUCCCAGGUUUGGCUCUGGAUUUGGUUGCCUGUGGUGUUGGUCCGUCUUCCCAGCUGGCUCCAGGUAUGGAAAGGUUGAAUCUUAUUGCAUUUUCCUGAGCCAGAUCUACUAAUAUGUCCUGUCCUUGUGACAUAGGGUGCAUGCCCAUCAAACAUUAGCUCUUGGGCCAGAAGUUUCCUAUUGCCCAUAUCAGAAGGAAUGUCUGUGUCAGAGAUCUUUGUACCGUCUGGAUGAGAUGCCUUUAGGAUUCUGUUUUUAUUCUGAAUUUAGUUAUUAGAUCACUUAAUAGAUCCCUUAAUUUAAGCUGUUGGUUGAUCCUGAAGAUGAAGCUCACAGGGGUAUGGCAUUAGUGUGUUCCACAUGUCAAUGGCAUGGACCAAACAUCCAUCUCAGUGGCAUCCACCAAACAUCCCUUGUCCUUUCAAUUCUGGACUUUCUGGAUUCUCUCACUUUGGUUUCCUUUCUAGCAGUGAUAAGUCUCUGUUAUGAUUGGAUUUUGCCCCCUGCAAAGAGUUUACAAGUUAAGGUCCUAACCCUCAGCACCUCGCAAUGUGAUUUGAAUUUAUAGAUAGGGUCUCUAUAGAGGUAAUUAGGUUAAAAAUGAAGCCUUAGCAUAAGCUUGAUUCCAACCUGACUGGUGUCCUAGGAGGAGAUUAGGACGAGAAGUCAGCAGAAGCUCACAGGCAGACAGAGACACCACAUGAGGACACAUGGAGAAAAUGGCCAUCUCUAAGGCAGGAAAGAAGUGGGAGGACUCCAGCCCCUCCAGCACCUUGAUCUUGGACUUCCACUUCCAGAACUGUGUGGAAAUAACAAGUCUGCUGUUUUAUAUCACCCAGUUGGUGAGAUGUUGUCAUAGCAAUGCUAGCAAAUUAAUAUAGCCGGUUGAGGUAGUCAACAAAAAUCCAGAGAAGAUACAAGUCAAAGCAUGCCAAAGUCGCCUGGCCACCAUUGUACCAUUGCAAGUACCGUGUAGCAGAUUGCCUCCAAUCAUCUGGUCACAAAGAGUGCAGCAUGAUACCAAAUAACCUUGGAUCAUACAUGCCCAGGUCAAGUACAUCUUAGACAUGAUAGUACUUAUUAGUUUCUCCCACGAAUAUGGAGAAUUGCUUUUGGUAGAAUGCAAGCUAUAUAUUUAUGAUGCAACUUGUACUUUAGGAAUAUCUCUUCAUUUCCUCUGUAUUGCUUUUUGAGUGUGUUAUGAUUUGGUUGUGGUGUGAGAUAAUGCAAGAAGGUUUGGAGGAGAAAUGACUGUGUUAUAGCCUUCACCUAAUCAGUGAACUAAUCCUUGAUAGGACUGAGUGGUAGCUGGAGGCAGGUGAGGCAUGGCAGUGGGGUAUAUAUUUUUGAUCUAGAGAGUGGAGCCCUUUCUCUGCUCUCUGAUCCUGAUGUGAGCUGCUUCCCUUCCGCCAUACUCUUCUGCCAUGAUGUUUAGCCUCACCUUGAGCCCUGAGGAAUGGAGUCUGCUGUCUAUGGAUUGAGAUCUCUGAAACCAUGAGCUCCCAAAUAAACUUUUUCUCUUUUAAGGUUGUUCUGGUCAGGUCUUUAAGUCACAGCAGACUUGUUUUUGUUUUUAGCUAGAGCUCAACCAGGUACAUCCCAGUUUGGAUGAAGUCACUUUGACCUGAUGUUGUAGGGACAGAUGAGGCAAGGUACCCAAGACAGCAGGAAACAGUUUUAUUUGGCUGUAGCCAGAUUCAGAGGGCACAGUUUUUUCUGUGAUCAAUCAAUCCCCUGAACCCCCAAGUUCGGGUAGUUUCAGAAUUUUAUACCCAGCACGUAAGGGGAGGGGCUCAGAAGUUCACAGUCUGCAGAAGUUCACAUAAAAGCAGCUUUUUCUUUUUCUGUUUUGGGGGCAAGUUAACCCUUCAAGGACAGCACCUGAGAAGGGGGGAGCUUCUUCUCCCCUUUCUCUCCUCCCCCUGCCAGCUGUUACCAUGGAGCCCAGUUGGUAAUUUCUCUUAUCUUAGAAAUGUAGGCAUCUCUGUGAAGCCCAGCUCAGGGCCAGAGGCCUUGUUUACACAUUUCUACAAACUACUUUCCUGGAUACGUGUUUGUGAAAAACGAGUAAGGGGGUGUCCAGCACCUGGAGUGCCGAUUUCUUCCCGGCCAGUGGCCAAGUAAGACAGGGUGAUACGAAAAUAGGAAGUUUGUCUACCUUGAACUCAUUUGCAGAGACUCUUUUUGCUGACAGUCCCUCAAAUCAGCCAUGGUGAAGAUUUCUGGAGAAUCCAGUUAAGACUUUCCCGUGGAGGAAGGGGUGCCACUACACUGAUAACUUCAUAAGCCUGUCUUCUGACACGAAUCGCAGGAACACACGCACCUUGCUUCUAUCCAGGACCAUGCUUCUGUCCAGAAUUGCACUCUGUGCCACCCUAGAUCUACCUGUUCCUUCAGUCUCACGGCACCUUGGUGCUGCUGCGGGCCAUUGCCAAGUGGGAAUGACGCAUCGAAACCCUUGCCAGCGUACCCCAUGCUAAAUGGACUUGCCUUGGAAAUCCGCUGUGACCUUGCAUGUGUGCUUGAGAAAGGUGACCCUGCUCA
rnacentral:lncRNA from 1 species